UACGUAGGGGGCGAGCGUUGUCCGGAAUCAUUGGGCGUAAAGCGCGUGUAGGCGGCUCGGUAAGUCUGCUGUGAAAGUCCAGGGCUCAACCCUGGGAUGCCGGUGGAUACUGUCGAGCUCGAGUCCGGAAGAGGCGAGUGGAAUUCCCGGUGUAGCGGUGAAAUGCGCAGAUAUCGGGAGGAACACCUAUGGCGAAGGCAGCUCGCUGGGACGUUACUGACGCUGAGACGCGAAAGCGUGGGGAGCAAACAGG
rnacentral:rRNA from 1 species